GGGGGGUUGGAUGGGUUGGGGAUUCUGAGGGGGGCAGGGGCAGGGGCCAGGCUGUUUGGGGAGGCACAGCCUCCUCUACCCAGCUCUCCAUACAGUUGCGCAACCCCGUUGUGGC